rnacentral:tRNA from 1 species
UGUAAUCGGGUGUUUAGCAUGUUACGUUUUGGUCGUGGAGGAAAUUAGUAGUUGAUUACAA